GAUGAACGCUAGCGGCAGGCUUAACACAUGCAAGUCGAGGGGCAGCACGAGUAGCAAUACUUGGUGGCGACCGGCGCAAGGGUGCGUAACGCGUGAGCAACAUGCCCGUAUCAGGGGGAUAAUCCAGGGAAACUUGGUCUAAUACCCCAUAGUAAUCAUAUCAGGCAUCUGGUAUGAUUUAAAGCUUAGGUGGAUACGGAUUGGCUCGCGUGACAUUAGCUAGAUGGUAAGGUAACGGCUUACCAUGGCUAUGAUGUCUAGGGGUUCUGAGAGGAAGGUCCCCCACACUGGAACUGAGACACGGUCCAGACUCCUACGGGAGGCAGCAGUGAGGAAUAUUGGACAAUGGAUGGAAAUCUGAUCCAGCCAUGCCGCGUGAAGGACGACGGUCCUAUGGAUUGUAAACUUCUUUUGUAUGGGAGCAAUAAGGUCUACGUGUAGAUCGAUGAGAGUACCAUACGAAUAAGCAUC
rnacentral:rRNA from 1 species